rnacentral:lncRNA from 1 species
GGGAGCUCUGAGGGACGAAGGGGACACCUAUCUCACCAGCCGGGCUCCCUGAGGCAACCCUGGUGAUCAAGGAGGUGACCGAUGCCACAGUCAGACCACCCUCACACCCACAGGGAAUUUUGACUUCAAAGUCAGCUGGCUAUGCUUCCUUUUCCACUCACAGCCAAGGCCAGGUCGCCAGGCAGUUUGGCUCAACCUGCUGGGACGGACUCUUCUCACUACAUUAAGUCUCUAGUCUGUGAAGCUGACGUCUUCCCUGGUGCUUGGAUUUCUUGCUCUCGGCCAGAGGUGUAGCCAGACCUGCUGUUGGAGGGAAGGGAAGCUGGGUCCUAGGGUCAGUGGUCCUGGAGACCAGCUCUGCCGCAGAACAGCUGUAGGCACCCAAACACCUCGGCAGGAUUGAGGCCCAACCCAAACCUCACUUUCUGGACUGUCCUAGCUCCAGCUGCCCUGCUCAGGUCCUCAGAUGUCCAGAGAGGAGAGCCAGGACCAACCGGUGUUCAUGCCAGUAAAUGGCCGGGUUUCUCCAAGGCAGUGAGAUUAUCCAAAGCAGUGCUCACACGCUUGCCAAUGUGAGGCACGUUCGCAGGUUGUCCUGGUCCAGCGCAGUGGUGUGGGUGAUGUGCAGAGAGCGCCACUGGCUGAGACAUACUGCAAAAGGCCGUUCCUGGGGGUGACAGGGCUGUAGAUGACGGGCAGUGGAUACAGAACUGCCAAAACAUUAAGAAUGAAUUUAUUCUCCA